UUGUGCUCUCACAAAUAAAUUUUCCUUUGAAAUGGAGGAGUUGGGUCAUGACUAUCUUGUCUACCGCAUAAUAGGUCACACGCAUAAUAACCGUAACAAGUAAAUGUAGUCUUUCAUAUUUUCUUCUAUUUUCCUGUUCGAAUAAAGCUUCUUUUUUUAUUUAAGAUUCCCGUCAUUGCUCACAAUGAAAUCCUUUUACAAGAACUUAUGUCUCAGCAUCGCUGCCAUAGCAACCCCAUCCCUUUGAUUAACUGACCACCAAAAGCUGCUAUAGAACCGACGACUCACACACUCCUUCACCAACCCUCCAUUUCUUUGAUUUUUCAAACAUAUCUAUAACAGACCUCUCUAUCCAAUCGGCUCACCAACCCUCCAUUUCUUUGGUUCGAUGAUUUUUUUUUAAUUAAAACUGAAUAAAAAAAGUUUUAAAACACCUGACACAGGUAAAGGAUAUUGACGAACAAGAAAUUGGAGAAUGAUGAAAUUUCCAAAGCCAUUUCUUGGUUCAUCUAAUCCAUGGGUGAAGAGGUAGAUUAUAGAUGUGUACUCCACCGUGAUGGUUCUGUUCUCAUGUCUGUUUCCCUCGAUCAACUCAAGGUUUAUAAAUUUUAAACUCUCAGUUCUGUAAUGGAUGUUAUAACCAGCAAACUCCUGGUUAAACUUUAAUGAUGUUAUUGUUUACUAAGGUACACUUCAUCUGUGUGA